AAUUCGUGUUGUGGGCAUAGCAGAGGAAACUUUUGUAUCAUUCCUAUGCCUUUGAAUAGCAUUCUGAGUCCAGUUGUUGGAAAAUAGUAAUCUCAUUCCUUAGCUU
rnacentral:snoRNA from 1 species